AACGUAGGUCACAAGCGUUGUCCGGAAUUACUGGGUGUAAAGGGAGCGCAGGCGGGAGAACAAGUUGGAAGUGAAAUCCAUGGGCUCAACCCAUGAACUGCUUUCAAAACUGUUUUUCUUGAGUAGUGAAGAGGUAGGCGGAAUUCCCGGUGUAGCGGUGGAAUGCGUAGAUAUCGGGAGGAACACCAGUGGCGAAGGCGGCCUACUGGGCACCAACUGACGCUGAGGCUCGAAAGUGUGGGUAGCAAACAGG
rnacentral:rRNA from 1 species